AUGAUUGCGCAAAUAUAUUUGACCUGGUUUCUCUUUUCUAUGUUUGAAGAAUCCAGCGGGCAGAUUGUUAUCACUCAGACACCUGCUUCUGUGACGGUGCUUCCAGGAGAGACGGUCACCAUUCAGUGCAAGGCGUCCAGUUCUGUUAGUUAUGAGAUGAACUUUUAUCAGUUCAAAACAGGAGAGGUUCCCAAGCUCUGCAUUUAUGAUGGCUCUAGCCACUUCACAGGAGUCCCGGAUCGAUUCAGUGGUAGUUACAGUGGCAUUGACCUCACAUUCACCAUUAGUAACGUGCAGGCUGAAGAUGGAGGAGACUACUAUUGUGGACAAGAUAACAGCCUUCCUCUCACAGUGAUACAGAUCAAUACAAAAACCUCUUCGGUGCCACUGCACACAUCAUGUAGUGUAAAGUAG